rnacentral:rRNA from 1 species
CACGAACCGUACGAACGUUAUUCGGAAUUACUGGGCUUAAAGGGUUUGUAGGCGGCCUUGUAAGUCAGGUGUGAAAGCCCUCGGCUCAACCGAGGAACAGCGCUUGAUACUGCAAGGCUUGAGGGAGACAGGGGUAAGCGGAACUGAUGGUGGAGCGGUGAAAUGCGUUGAUAUCAUCAGGAACACCGGUGGCGAAAGCGGCUUACUGGGUCUCUUCUGACGCUGAGGCACGAAAGCUAGGGUAGCGAACGGG